rnacentral:lncRNA from 1 species
AUCAAAAAAAAAAGUUACUCAUAUGGAAAAUAUAUGUAUGUAACAGGGUUCACUUGAUACUUUGACUAUCUCUUGUGGCUUUGAAACUUACAUGUUUUUUUUUUUUUUUCUUUUUCCCAAUCUUCUUUUCCCUAACCUUCUCCUUCCUGACCGCCUCUCUGAUCUUCUUUUCCCUGAUCUUCCCUGAUAUUCUUUUCCUUAAACUUUUCCUCCCCAAUCUUCUUGAUCUUCUUUUCCCUAAUCUUCCCCUUCCUGACCUCUUCCCUGAUCUUCUUUUCCCUGAUCUUCUCCUCCCUGUUCUCUCCUCCCUGAUCUCAUUUUCUCUGAAUCACCUCUAUAAAAGCCCCCUCUCAGGCUGGGGCUGGGGCUCAGCAGUAAAGCUCUCACCUAGUAUAUGCAAGGCCCU